rnacentral:tRNA from 1 species
CUGCGUGUAGCUCAGUCUGGUUAGAGCGCUCGGUCCGGAGCCGAGGGGUCGUAGGUUCAAAUCCUGCUACGCAGA